UUGAACACCACCCUCAACAAAGCGAAUUUAUACAAGGUGAAAUUCGCUUUGCCAAAGCGUAUAAAUUCGCCGUUGUUUUUAAUGUAAUCGGAAUGAAAAAACAAAAACAUUGGGUCUUCCUCGAAAUGAAAACAUAAUUUUUGAAGUGUCCAAAGGUACAAAUGCAGUGUAAAAUAAAAACAAGAACAUGAGUAUUCAACUCACCAGUUUUGAAUUAAGUUCCGAAGCGCUAAUUGGAUCACUACUAGCAUUAUGUGCGUUAUUCGCUUUUUGUCGCAGUUUAUUACUGGAGGACGUAAUUUUCAUACCAAGGAAAACGAAACAUAGCUGGAAAUCUAUCAAGCUACUCGAAAAGUUGAAGUAUUUUGCGUUUCUACAGGUCUGUUAUUGCAAUGCAUGUGAGAUCCUUUUGACCUCUUCAGCAGGUCUCUUCUGUGAUUGCUGUGGUGUUUGUUCUCAUUCCGCAAAUAUGUGCACCAAAGAAAUAGACAACAAUUAUCGCUGCAAAGAUAAAUGGAUUCGAAAUGAAAAAUCGAUGCGUCAUCUAUGGGUUCGUGGCAACUUGCCCGUUGGAGUAGUCUGCGUUGCAUGUAAGGGCGAAAUCGAUUAUCACGCCACCGCAGGCCUAUUUGGUUGGCGAUGUGCAUGGUGUCAUCGUUGCUAUCACAAUAACUGCUAUAAACAUAUAGAUGCACGAUCAGAGUGUGAUUUGGGUGAAUUUCGGGACAUGAUCUUUCCACCGUAUUGUAUUGUUGCGGCGCGCACUCGCGAGUCGGUACGAUUACAUUUAGCUGGCAUUAAACCACCUAACAUUGAAAGUUGGGAGCCUUUAAUAGUGAUUGCUAAUACAAAAUCUGGAAGCAGUACAGGUUCAGAUGUUGUAUCUUUGCUGCGAGGUUAUCUCCACCCUCUGCAAGUGAUGGAACUGGGUACUCGCGGUCCUCAAGAUGCCAUGCAAUGGGCAGCGAAGGCUACUCCUAGGCCUUGUCGCAUUCUAGUAGCAGGAGGAGAUGGCACUGUCGGUUGGGUAUUAAACACAAUCCACGCUCUCAAUAUAAAGCCUAUACCUUCUGUUGCUAUAAUGCCAUUGGGAACAGGUAACGAUCUUUCAAGAGUGAUGGGUUGGGGCCCAGAGCCGCCUGCAAGUUUAGAUCCGGUUGCAAUCCUCAGAAAUAUUAAGCGGGCCCGAUCAGUAAAUUUAGAUCGUUUCGACUUACAAGUUGAAAGACUACAUUAUAGACUGCCUAUUCAACGACAUCCAAUCAAAACGAUACAUGUUUAUAACUACUUCAGUAUUGGAGUGGAUGCGUUGGUCACUUAUAAUUUUCAUAAAACCCGAGAAUCUCGAUUUUACGUAUUAAGUAGUCGUAUUUUUAAUAAGCUAAUUUAUUUUGGUUUCGGUACUCAACAAAUAGUACAACGUGAUUGUGAACGAAUUGAAAAAAAGUUGGAUCUGUAUUUGGACGGUCAUCUUGCAGAGCUGCCUGAACUGCAAUCGAUUAUCUUCCUUAACAUUGAUUCUUGGGGAGCAGGCUGCAAACUUUGUGUAAUUCAGAUUCAAAUGCUAAGAUAGACAACUCUAUAUCUGAUGGUAUUAUGGAAGUUUUCGGUCUUGUAUCUUCAUUCCACAUGGCUCAACUACAGUGUGGCAUAAGUAAACCUGUGCGGAUUGGUCAAGCUAGGCAAAUACGAGUUGUCGUAAAGGCCACAUGUCCUAUGCAAUCUGAUGGUGAGCCGUGGAUGCAAGCUCCAGCUGAUAUACGCUUACAGUCGCGCAGUCAAGUACGCAUGCUAAAGUUGGAAUGUUAGUGCUAACUUAACUUAUUCAUUUAAAGCUUUAUAUCAAUGUUGUCCAGCGGGCGGCGGGCGCUAAAAUAUGGUCCGCGAAAAGUUACAAACUUUGAAUGAACACGCCGCUCUCUGGGAAAAAAUAAUUUGAGUCAAAAAAUCCUUAAACCUUAAUCGAUUUCGUAAUUUUGUUUUGAAUGUUCGUUAUUAAUUGUACAUUAAGAUAGUGCUCCUUUCUUAAAGAGUCAUAAAAUUAAAGAAAAUA
rnacentral:misc_RNA from 1 species